rnacentral:rRNA from 1 species
GAUGAACGCUGGCGGCGUGCUUAACACAUGCAAGUCGAACGGGAAACCUUUUAAUGAAGCUUCGGCAGAUUUAGCUGGUUUCUAGUGGCGGACGGGUGAGUAACGCGUGGGUAACCUGCCUUAUACAGGGGGAUAACAGUCAGAAAUGACUGCUAAUACCGCAUAAGCGCACAGGACCGCAUGGUCCGGUGUGAAAAACUCCGGUGGGAUAAGAUGGACCCGCGUUGGAUUAGCUUGUUGGUGGGGUAACGGCUCACCAAGGCGACGAUCCAUAGCCGGCCUGAGAGGGUGAACGGCCACAUUGGGACUGAGACACGGCCCAGACUCCUACGGGAGGCAGCAGUGGGGAAUAUUGCACAAUGGGGGAAACCCUGAUGCAGCGACGCCGCGUGAAGGAAGAAGUAUCUCGGUAUGUAAACUUCUAUCAGCAGGGAAGAUAGUGACGGUACCUGACUAAGAAGCCCCGGCUAACUACGUG